rnacentral:rRNA from 1 species
UACGGGGGGGGUAAGCGUUGUUCGGAAUUACUGGGCGUAAAGGGCUCGUAGGCGGCCAACUAAGUCAGACGUGAAAUCCCUCAGCUUAACUGGGGAACUGCGUCUGAUACUGGAUGGCUUGGAUUCGGGAGAGGAAUGCGGAAUUCCAGGUGUAGCGGUGAAAUGUGUAGAGAUCGGGAGGAACACCGGUGGCGAAGGCGGGUCUCUGGGCAUCUCCUGACGCUGAGGCGCGAAAGCGUGGGGAGCAAACGGG